rnacentral:rRNA from 1 species
UACGUAGGGUGCAAGCGUUAAUCGGAAUUACUGGGCGUAAAGCGUGCGCAGGCGGUUUUGUAAGUCAGGCGUGAAAUCCCAGGGCUUAACCUUGGAACUGCAUUUGUGACUGCAUAGCUAGAGUACGGUAGAGGGGGAUGGAAUUCCGCGUGUAGCAGUGAAAUGCGUAGAUAUGCGGAGGAACACCGAUGGCGAAGGCAAUCCCCUGGACCUGUACUGACGCUCAUGCACGAAAGCGUGGGGAGCAAACAGG